UACGUAUGGUGCAAGCGUUAUCCGGAAUGACUGGGUGUAAAGGGAGCGUAGACGGUUGUUCAAGUCUGAUGUGAAAGCCCCCGGCUUAACUGGGGGAGUGCAUUGGAAACUGAAGGACUAGAGUAUCGGAGAGGCAAGUGGAAUUCCUAGUGUAGCGGUGAAAUGCGUAGAUAUUAGGAGGAACACCAGUGGCGAAGGCGGCUUGCUGGACGAAAACUGACGUUGAGGCUCGAAAGCGUGGGGAGCAAACAGG
rnacentral:rRNA from 1 species